ACCCACCACAGAGAAUCUUACAUAGGUUCACAUAUCUGCAUAUCCCUAUAUGCACAUUUAUGUCUAUAUAUGUGUGUAUCACUCACCAGAAACUUUGGCCUCUGAAAAUUUUCUCAUUUCCAAUUCUCCUAAGUAAAUGGAGGCCAGCCAUGAUUCUGACUUUGGUCCUUAGUAACGUCCUUAAUAGUGCCAGUUAUUUACCUGUAGUUUUUCAGCUACAUGCCUACCCUUUCACUCUGUUCCGUAAUGCUGGGGACUGGGAAUCUGAAAACUGUUUCUCAAGCUCCUUUGCCAAUUAGCUUCCUGCAAAUAGGAGGCACUACAGGAAAUUAGUGGGUUGCAGAAGGGAAAAGGGUGCUGUGUUGCUGUCUCUCACUCUCUCUCCCCCUCUACUCCCUCCCUUUUCUUUUUCUGACAAUAACUCUGGAAGAAUCUUUAGUUCCUCCUGCAAAGCUCAGCUCUGGAGUGGCAGUUCUCCUCUACUCUCCUAAGUGACGGUACCAUCACCUCCUCCCUUCUGUGACCCUAGACACAGGAGUCGCAGCUGCUUUCUAAAGUUACUAAUCUGUGGUUUAUCUCAUUUUUCCCUCUUCUUGCCUUCCAACAUAUUUCAUGUAUUAAAUUCCUUGUUUAAAAUACCUAGUGUGCUUUUUGCUUUCCUGGCUAAUACUGAAAUAUUUCCAAAAUUGGGAGAGACUCACUUUUGAAUCUAUUUCUAUUAAGAAUCAAUGAAAUGGAAUACUUUAUUAGGCUGAUUUGAAAAUGGGCUCAUGCCUACCUUUUUAGGCUAACAGGCUUUCCUGCAUGUUGAUGGGGGUUCAAAUAAAGGGCAUUUUAUUUCUUCCUGUUCUUUUCAAAAACUACAAGAUUGUUGUUCGGAAAUGCUUUGCUGAGUACCUCAGUUUACCUUGUCAUCCUUAAAAAAUUUCUGAUUCCUUUGCAUAUUUACCUCUUAAUUCUAUCUCAUUUGCUUUUAUUUCCACAUGAGCCCAACUUCAAUUUUCAACAUUUCUCCUUGACCUUCGUCUGAUCCAUCAGUGAUAUGAUUUGGCUCUGUGAGAGUCACAGGAGUACACAGCUGCGACUCCUGUGUCUAGGGUCACAGAAGGGAGGAGGUGAUGGUACCAUCACUUAGGAGAGUAGAGGAGAACUGCCUGCCACUCCAGAGCUGAGGUUUCCUGAGGCCUCCCCAGCCGUGUGGAACUUAGCCAGAUAACCAAAGGGAGGCUAACCGAAGUUAAGUAACCUACACAGGAUGAAAUAACUAGACUCCAAUUCUGCUCAGGAUGACAAUGGACUCAACAACAACAACAACAACAACAACAAAAUAGCUGUGUUGCCCAGCUUCCUUUCCAACUGGAGUCAGCUACAGGAUGAGAUUCGGGCCAAUGACAUUUAAGAAAAACUUCUUGUUGCACUUCCAAUGAUCCAUUUUAAAAGGGGACAGAUUCAUCAGCAUAUGCUUUCUGCCUCGAGUCCAGGGUUUCUCAACACUUUGGGCCAGAUAAUUCUUGCUCUGGGGUUUGUCCUAUAAAUUGUAGGAUGUUUAGCAGCAUCUUUGGCUUCUACAAAUUAGAUACCAGGAGCAACCCAUGCCCCCCUCCGCAAGUUGUGACAACCAAAAAUAUCUCCAUAUAUUGCCAAAUGUGCCCCUGGUGGCAAAAUCACCUCCAGCUGAGAACUACUGCUUUAGCCUUUCCUCUUCUUCCUUUCUGGAAUGCUGAUGCAAUGCCAGAAGCCGAGCAGCCAUCUAGUAAUCACAAGGCAACACAUAUGAGGAAAAAAUCUACAUGCUGAAGAUGGUGGGAUGAAAAGCUGAUGGCAUUCGAAGGCCAGCAUAUUAGACCUGGACUGCCUCCCUCUUUUCCCUUCAUGACAUACAGAAAAUAAAGCCCUUAUUUGUUUGAAAAAAAAAAAAAAAAAAAAAAAAA
rnacentral:lncRNA from 1 species